rnacentral:tRNA from 1 species
GCCUGAUUAGCCCAGUGGUAGAGCGUUGGUCUUGUAACAAGUUGAGACAACCAAAGGUCGGGUGUUCGAUCCACCCAUCAGGCA